ACGGGUUUGGUCUAGUGGCAAUGACGUUCGCUUCACACGCGAAAGGCCCUGAGUUCGAACCUCAGCACCCGUA